UUUCCGUAGGUGAACCUGCGGAAGGAUCAUUAACGAGUUAGGGUCUUCCAGGCCCGACCUCCCAACCCUAUGUUUAUUGAACCUCUGUUGCUUCGGCGGACCCGCCUCACGGCCGCCGGAGGACCGCUGCAGGGCGUCCUCUGGCCAGCGUCCGCCGAUGGCCAACCACUUAAACUCUGAAUGAAUCGUGUCAUAUGUCUAAGUCUAUGAUUAAAUUAAAGCAAAACUUUCAACAACGGAUCUCUCGGUUCUG
rnacentral:misc_RNA from 1 species